UACGAAGGGGGCUAGCGUUGCUCGGAAUUACUGGGCGUAAAGGGCGCGUAGGCGGAUAGUUUAGUCAGAGGUGAAAGCCCAGGGCUCAACCUUGGAAUUGCCUUUGAUACUGGCUAUCUUGAGUAUGGAAGAGGUAUGUGGAACUCCGAGUGUAGAGGUGAAAUUCGUAGAUAUUCGGAAGAACACCAGUGGCGAAGGCGACAUACUGGUCCAUUACUGACGCUGAGGCUCGAAAGCGUGGGGAGCAAACAGG
rnacentral:rRNA from 1 species